rnacentral:rRNA from 1 species
UACAGAGGUCUCAAGCGUUGUUCGGAUUCAUUGGGCGUAAAGGGUGCGUAGGUGGCGCGAUAAGUCGGGUGUGAAAUCUCGGAGCUUAACUCCGAAAUUGCAUUCGAUACUGCCGUGCUCGAGGACUGGAGAGGAGAUUGGAAUUCACGGUGUAGCAGUGAAAUGCGUAGAUAUCGUGAGGAAGACCGGUGGCGAAGGCGGAUCUCUGGACAGUUCCUGACGCUGAGGCACGAAGGCCAGGGGAGCAAACGGG